UUUUCUGAUUUCUUCUACUACUUCUUGUUCACAAUACUGUCUCAGUUACACUUUAGUUACUUGUCAACAUUACCUCUCCCCAACACCUCCUUUGACUAGAUUGAAAAGCCUGAUUAUGAGCUCGCUUAGUCUGGGUUUACAUCACUGUAAUUCCAUAUGGCAAAGCUGUAACUAUAGAUGUCCAAGGCAAUCGUGUUUUUUGCCUCUUUUCCCUGGAGUUAACUGGUACAAGUCAGGUGUCCAGAUUUCCAUUGUCUCCAUGAGUCCUUGCCUGUAUGUGCUGAUGUAUUUAUUUACCAAGAGAGGCUUUUGUCUCCCUGCCUUGUUCACUGCACCAUGUAAAAGGCUUCAUGUUCUGUCAUAUUAAAAUAAAUACCCUUAUACCUAAAGAAGGAAAAGAAAUUCCUGCAUAAUUGUUUUCAAAAGCUUGUUGAGGAGGAGGCUGCCUUCUAGUCCUCAGAGGUGGUUAGGAUAUAAACAGAAAGCAUUGGGAGAUUUGUUUUUUAAAACCCCCAUGUUCACAGCUGACUCUGCUUUGUCAGGAGGCUGGACUGGAUGAUCUCCUUAGGCUCCUUCUAACCUGGCUUACUCCAUGAUCCUCUGAACCUGUUUGAGGUGAAAGCAGGGAGGAAAAAUCUUCAUUGUUAUGGCAGUUGCUGCUCGUGGGGCACACGUGAGGUGCACAGACCUGCUCCCCCACUGGACAAUGGACAAGCUGGUUUUCCUCAAAGCCAUGUGCCCAUCCUGGAGUCCAGCAUGCAGCAGGACACUUGUGUUGCUUGGGCAGAGCUGACCACAAGAGUGCACUCACGGAAUGAUGUCCUGCAUUGUUUCCUCUGGGUCAUUUCCUUUCCCUCAGCUCUGGAAGCAGCUUGCAGCAUGUGGAGGUCGGGGGGUCAGACCUGGGCCCACGUGUUGUUUCUCUGGACAUAUAGAUGCCGUGUCCCCCAGGGAGGAAGACGCUGCAGCUGUACAUUGAGUGGGACAUACUUGCAGGAUGAGUACACGGACACGUCACCAGGGACACACGCUGGGGGUACAUCUGAGUGGCACAGGCUUUGCCCACAGGCUGUGCUUGAUGUUGGUAAUGAUUUUCUUCCUUAUAAGGGAUGGCUAUACUUAAAGAGCAUGUCGGAGAUUCUCCCACAGUUUUGUCUUGCUAUAUAAUUGGGAUUUGGGGUUUUUUCCUUCCCUUUUUCCCCCUCCUAGUGCUUCUCAACUUCUUUCUGUGACCUUCUAACACCACAGAUCAUUUGUCAAGCAGCCAGUAAUGGCUACACAGAGGCCCAUUGUAGCACGCACUUGCAACAAUUUGUUAACAAUAAAUAUGAUGUGAUUAGUAAAUACCUCA
rnacentral:lncRNA from 1 species